UGGUAGUAAAACACCGAUUCUCCUCUUGAGACUUAAUUCGAUCUUCAUAGAUUUCUCGAGAUAUUUUCUUACGAAGUUUUGAAAAAAAUUUUCU